GCCUGGGUGGCUUAGUCGGUUGAGCGUCUGAUUUCGGCUCAGGUCAUGAUCUCACAGCUCAUGGGUUCAUGCUCCAUGUCGGGCA
rnacentral:tRNA from 1 species